rnacentral:rRNA from 1 species
AUUCCCGAGCCGGGACGCGGCGGCGGACGGCAACGUUAGGAAGUCCGGAGACGCCGGCGGGGGCCCCGGGAAGAGUUAUCUUUUCUGCUUAACGGCCCGCCCACCCUGGAAACGGCUCAGCCGGAGGUAGGGUCCAGCGGUCGGAAGAGCGCCGCACGUCGCGCGGCGUCCGGUGCGCCCCCGGCGGCCCUUGAAAAUCCGGAGGACCGAGUGCCGCCCGCGCCCGGUCGUACUCAUAACCGCAUCAGGUCUCCAAGGUGAACAGCCUCUGGCCCAUGGAACAAUG